ACCGGCGCACGGGUGCGUAACACGUAUGCAAUCUGCCUUGUACUGGAGCAUAGCCCUCGGAAACGAAGAUUAAUACUCCAUACAGUCUUACUAGCGCAUGCUAGUAAGAUGAAAGCUCCGGCGGUACGAGAUGAGCAUGCAUCCCAUUAGCUUGUUGGUGAGAUAACAGCUCACCAAGGCUACGAUGGGUAGGGGUUCUGAGAGGAAGAUCCCCCACACUGGCACUGAGAUACGGGCCAGACUCCUACGGGAGGCAGCAGUAGGGAAUAUUGGUCAAUGGGCGCAAGCCUGAACCAGCCAUGCCGCGUGCAGGAUGAAGGCCUUCAGGGUUGUAAACUGCUUUUGUAUGGGAAUAAAAAAGUCCUUGCGAGGACUCUUGAAGGUACCAUAAGAAUAAGCACCGGCUAACUCCGUGCCAGCAGCCGCGGUAAUACGGAGGGUGCAAGCGU
rnacentral:rRNA from 1 species